rnacentral:tRNA from 1 species
GGUUUUGUAUUCAAUUAUGAUUUUAGAUUGCAAUUCUAAAGGUACGACUGAUUCGUUAAGGCCU